CGAGCCUUGUAUGCGCGUCUGUGCGCACUGGUAACAGCGCUGCGUGCGAUACCGAAUUAAAUCCUCUUUUGCCUCUUCUAACGCUGGAAUGGUUUUAUAUCUAUUCAAUGUGUAAACUAGCAAGACAAAACACGUGCAAAUGAUAACAUUUCACUCUACUGCGGUGAAACUUGAUCCGUGAAGCAAAUGCGUCCCGAACCGUGGGGCUUGGUCUUUAUACCACUCACAACCAAACUUCCUUAGUUUUGAUUUGACUGUAUUUAGCUUUUCAUCAGAGCCCUUAAAACUGAAGCUCAUCAGCACAACAUCAGCACGGAUAUAAGAGCUAGGUCGAUGUUUCCUCUUUUCUGCUCAUCACAAGAUUCAGAUGGAGAAGAGAAAGAAAAUCACACAUCCAGAAAACUGCUGGAGCCUCAGAAAUCACAGAGCAGCAGAAAACAAGAAGACAGAGAGAGAAAUGGAGACACAAACCAGUGAAUCACAAGAGAAAAGAGGAGAGAGACUUGAGAGAUGUAGCAGUAUGGAGGGAAUAAUGCCAACCUUCUCAGAUGAUCCAGAUGAUCCUGUAAAGAUUGAUUCUGAUGUCAAAACUGAGGAGAGAUUCUCUCAUCAAAACCCUUCAUCAUCCAGAACAUCAUCAUCUUCAUCAUCAUCACUACCACCACCACCAUCAUCAUCAUCAUCAUCAUCAUCAUUAUAAUUAUAAUCAUCACAUCUUCAUCCAUCUCCUGGAUUCUGCAAGCUUUUAUAGACUUAACCAGACUGAGGGACCAUUUCACGACACUGUUUUCAACACUUUUUUAAAACGUUUUGACUGUUCGUUUACUUGGCAACAGCAUUUUCAACGCUAAAACUUUUGAAAACAGGUUUUUGAAAAGGAUACCAUUAUCAUUUCUGUGUAAACUACAAAAACAUGAAUUUGUGAAUCAAUUCAAUAAAGGAUGUUUUACAUAUUUGAA